rnacentral:snRNA from 1 species
AUCGCUUCUUCGGCCUUUUGCCCAGAUCAAGUGUGUAUCUGUUCUUAUCAGUUUAAUAUCUGACAUCGCCCCCAUCAGACUACAUAUUAAUGGAUUUUCAACAGGAUUGGUCGGGCUUACCCGUUCCAUCACGCAUCGACUGUGCACAGAAAAUUGAAUGGUGCACACUUU